rnacentral:sRNA from 1 species
UUCUAGCCCCGAUUGCAGUGGAAAUCCUUUUUUGAAAAAAAAGAUUGCAACGAAAAGCGGGAAAUAGC